UGAAUUAUACAUAAUAAUUACAACUUUCAACAACGGAUCUCUUGGUUCUGGCAUCGAUGAAGAACGCAGCGAAAUGCGAUAAGUAGUGUGAAUUGCAGAAUUCAGUGAAUCAUCGAAUCUUUGAACGCACAUUGCGCCCCUUGGUAUUCCAUGGGG
rnacentral:rRNA from 1 species